UGUAGGUCCACAGGGGAGGAAUGGGGCUCUAGAGUGAACAACAGCAUAGAAUGGAUAAAGUGUGUCACGAGCCCUGUCAUAAUAACCUCCAAAACAGAUCCUUUCGGGGUGACUGAGGCCAGCCUUCAAACAACCUGUAUUGUCUACCAUAGACAAACUGGGAGCUGCUUUGUCCCAUAUCACAGAUUGGCAACGAUAUGGAACAUUCCACCCAGAGGGAUCAACUGCAUCGCCCUCUACAGCCCAAGUAUUGGGAUUUCAUCCCUUCCCUAAAAAUAAGAUUUAAAUCAACAAAAACAUG